UGAAAAUCUCAAAAAUCCCUGUACCACCUGAAUUAAUCCAGUAACCACAUUCGGCAUGUGGUGGACGGUGCUGAUUGGCAAUUGUGAUUUUCCCACAAUGGCUGAUUUGCAAAAGAAGCCUGUGAAAAUUUCCAGUGCCAGUGACCCAGUCCCCACAACAAAGUAUGUGCAAAAUGUAAAACAAACAAACAAAAAUAAUAAAAAACCCACCACCAACAACAAAAAAAACACCACCAAAAAACAAACAACAACAACAAAAUAUUGAAUUCAUAAAUGGGCACAGAGGAUAUACAAGUUGUGAUGACAGAAGUCUGGGAGCUCGGUUUGUAUGUUCUACCUUUUCUAGGUGUCUGCACAAAGCCAGAGUUCAUCAAGAGUUUUCAAGGAGCUCCCGUAUCAUUUACUUCCAGUUUCAGAAGCUCUGUGACUGAGCGAAGCUGAGUGCUGGAGGAGUCUGAGUGGUGACCCUGAACCCCUAAGCCUUAUCCAGGGAUUUCUCAGCAUCGUAGGCCUGGUUUAUUAAGACAAAAGAAGCAGCUUAGAAUUAGCAGAAGAACACAGAAUGGCUUACACAUUUGCUUUUGCUUUGUCACACUAUGUCAUCCAAAUCCACUGAAGUUAUUAAAACUGAAGACUUUCAAAUAUUAACAUACAUUUAAAAUGAAAGAAAAAAACUUCCUUAGUGUCUGGCCUACUUUUAUGUGAUGGGUGAAAGUCUGUGCUACCAAGAAGUCAACAUCUUCUAGUAAUCCUCCUGUGCUGAGCAGUGCUUUGCUGUGACCUUCCUGAUGGACAGAGAUGCCAGUACUCUGUGGUCAAGAAAAUAGUCUUCCUUACAAACCUUCAGCCCAGCCACUGGGCUUGCUGCCAAACUAUGAAGGUUUCCCUGAAUGGAAUACUACUGACUUGAUGUCAGUACUGGAUGGUACUAGAGAAGAAAUGUGUGUCUUUGUGUGCUGCAGCAAGUAAUGGAGCUAAAAGGAGGAGCAACUUCAUCUCCUUCCUCCCAUGUUUAGGUGUUUAUUUUUUUUUUCUUUUCUUCAUGUAGGAGCUUUCCUACAUAGGUUAAGAACUGUCCUUGAUUGAAAGCAAAACAUUAAUGGAAUAAAAUGUUCAUCUGUUAACAGUGCUCAAGGUAACUUUGCAAACCCUGGAGAGAGAUCAUGUCCUGUACUGGUGGUCAGGUGAAGUCAAGUAGACAAAAGUGAAAACCUCAGCUUUGGCUCAGAUACUUGGAUGAAUCUGGCUGAAUGGAAGAGAUGAUACUACAAUGGUGAAGAUGAAUAAUAUUACCUACCAUCUUUAGUUGAUUACAAGUUUUUUUCUUAUGCAGAUAGAUGACUGCAUCUUCAUCUGAAGUGUGACUUCAUCUGUUGUACUUGCCUUC